UACAGAGGGUGCAAGCGUUAAUCGGAAUUACUGGGCGUAAAGCGUGCGUAGACGGUUAUGUAAGUCGGGUGUGAAAGCCCCGGGCUCAACCUGGGAAUGCCAUUCGAGACUGCAUAGCUAGGGUGCGGAAGAGGGAAGCGGAAUUUCCGGUGUAGCAGUGAAAUGCGUAGAGAUCGGGAGGAACAUCAGUUGCGAAGGCGGCUCUCUGGACCAGCACUGACGCUGAGGCACGAAAGCGUGGGGAGCAAACAGG
rnacentral:rRNA from 1 species